UAAAAUGCUUUGAAUGGAAUAAGUAGUGAACAUCUCCCUGUUUUAGAAAGCUGAUGUUUGAUGCAAAUCAGUACACAGAUGAAUCAUGAAUUACCUCCAGGAGCUUCUUUUGUGAAAGGCUGAAAUGCCAAAUAGCGAAAGACGGUCAGAAUGCCGUUAUAUAUGCCGAGAUAGGAAUCAGUAUGUCUUUUUCCUAAGUAGGGUGGUACCGCGUAAUCACGCCCCUUCA
rnacentral:ncRNA from 1 species